GUUGUCCUGGUGCUCAUCCACUGCAGACCCUGGCCCCUGGCCAGGCCCUACACUUAGAUGUUUGUCAUUCUCAGCCUUGGCAGAGCCUCGGCCUUUGCCCUUGGCCCUCUUGGCCUUGUCCUCCGCCUUCUUGGCCCGGGGGGCGGCCGGUUCGGCGCCCUCGGCCCCCGCCGCCUUCUUCUUGCGCCGCUUGCCCCGCAGCCAGCUGAAGGCGCGGCGGAGGCCGGACGCGCCGGAGCGGGA
rnacentral:lncRNA from 1 species